rnacentral:rRNA from 1 species
CGCGUAGGCGGUGUUUUAAGUGAGAUGUGCAAUCCCCGAGCUUAACUUGGGAACUGCAUCUCAGACUGGAACGCUAGAGUACUGGAGAGGGUGGUAGAAUUCCACGUGUAGCGGUGAAAUGCGUAGAGAUGUGGAGGAAUACCAGUGGCGAAGGCGGCCACCUGGACAGUAACUGACGCUGAGGCGCGAAAGUGUGGGUAGCAAACAGGAUUUAGAUACCCUGGUAGUCCACGCUGUAAACGAUGAACACUUGGUGUGGCGGGAGUUGACCCCUGCCGUGCCGUAGCUAACGCGAUAAGUGUUCCGCCUGGGGAGUACGGUCGCAAGGCUGAA